rnacentral:rRNA from 1 species
UAGUCAUAUGCUUGUCUCAAAGAUUAAGCCAUGCAUGUCUAAGCACAAGCCGAUUAAUGGUGAAGCCGCGAAUGGCUCAUUACAACAGCCAUAGUUUCUUAGAUCUUACUUUUCUACUUGGAUAACUGUGGUAAUUCUAGAGCUAAUACACGCAAAAAAGCUCAGACCUUACGGAAUGAGCGCAUUUAUUAGAACAAAAACCAAUCGGGCUUCGGUCCGUCAUUUGGUGAAUCUGAAUAACUUUGCUGAUCGCACGGUCUUCGUACCGGCGACAUAUCUUUCAAAUGUCUGCCUUAUCAACUUUCGAUGGUAGUUUAUGCGCCUACCAUGGUUGUAACGGGUAACGGAGAAUAAGGGUUCGACUCCGGAGAGGGAGCCUGAGAAACGGCUACCACAUCCAAGGAAGGCAGCAGGCACGCAAAUUACCCACUCCCGGCACGGGGAGGAAGUGACGAAAAAUAACGAGACGGCUCGCUAUGCGGUCCGUCAUCGGAAUGGGUACAAUUUAAAUCCUUUAACGAGGAUCUAUUG